rnacentral:rRNA from 1 species
AGCGAACGCUGGCGGCAGGCCUAACACAUGCAAGUCGAACGAACUCUUCGGAGUUAGUGGCGGACGGGUGAGUAACACGUUGGAACGUGCCUUUUGGUUCGGAAGAACUCAGGGAAACUUGUGCUAAUACCGAAUGUGCUCUUCGGGGGAAAGAUUUAUCGCCAUUAGAGCGGCCCGCGUCUGAUUAGCUAGUUGGUGAGGUAACGGCUCACCAAGGCGACGAUCAGUAGCUGGUCUGAGAGGAUGACCAGCCACACUGGGACUGAGACACGGCCCAGACUCCUACGGGAGGCAGCAGUGGGGAAUCUUGCGCAAUGGGCGAAAGCCUGACGCAGCCAUGCCGCGUGAAUGAUGAAGGUCUUAGGAUUGUAAAAUUCUUUCACCGGGGACGAUAAUGACGGUACCCGGAGAAGAAGCCCCGGCUAACUUCGUG